UCCGCCCUAACGAGGAGGGCCGGGCAUAAAAUGGCGGUCGCCUUUUCUCAGAACGGGGUGGGUGUCUAGCGUGCAUGCGCAGCGCUCCGUGCGCCGUCGCCUGAGAGAGGGACGCGGAGCUGCAGGCAUGGCGGCGGGCGCUCUCGGAGUCGCGGUGCUGUUGGCGGGGCUUUGCGCGGCUCGGGAGCAGGGGCAGGAAUCCUGCACGCUUCCAGACAGUGUUCCGUAUGCAGAGCUCGUGGAGGACAUCAGUGCAAACAGCAGCUUUCCUGUUGGAACCAACGUGAGGUACACCUGUCGCCCUGGCUAUAGGAAGAUCCCUGGGAUGCCCGAUAAUCGAGUAUGUGGCAAAAACUCAACGUGGUCACAAAUAGAGACGUUCUGUAAAGCAAAAAGUUGUAUGCAUCCAGGAGAAUUAGAAUAUGGCUUUGUUAAUGUGACAGAUCUUACAUUUGGUUCAACAGCUACUUUUUCUUGUGAAAAAGGGUACAGGUUAUAUGGACGUAGUCAAAUUUCCUGUGUAAUUAAAGAUAAAGGUGUUGACUGGGAUGGAAAUCUUCCUUUAUGUGAUAUAGUUCCUUGUGGACCACCUCCAAGUAUAGCCAAUGGGCACUACACUGAAGCAGACAACUAUGUUUAUCAAACAACAGUAACCUAUAGUUGCAAUAAUGUACAGAAAGGAGAAGAUCCCUUCUCGCUGAUUGGUUCACCUUCUAUCUUCUGCACAGUUGACGAGAACUCAAAUGGCUUUUGGAGUGGACCACCUCCACGGUGUAAAGUGGUCAUCUGUGAAAACCCAGAAGUAGAAAAUGGAAGAAAAUUAUCUGGGUUUGCAUCUCAUUAUAGCUAUGGGAGCAUGGUUGUGUUUAAAUGUGAUCCAGACUACGUCUUGUCUGGGGAGAAUAUAAUUACUUGUCAAGAAAAUAGCACCUGGUAUCCACCAAUACCAACUUGUAAAAAAAUUAGUGAAGCAUGCAGUGCCCCAGAGAUCUCCCAUGGAGCAGUGGUUCCACUGAAAUCUGCGUACUUAAGAGGAGAGUCUGUUCAGAUAAGCUGCAAUCCUCCCUGUGCUUUUGCUGAUGGUGGUACAGAGGUCACAGUAACGUGCCAAGGACAAAACACAUGGAGUUCUAAACCAAACUGUGCAUGUGGUCCUGAAUCUUCUGAUUCCUCUCCAGUCAUCAGCCAUGGUAGAAUAAUUGAUGGGAAAAAAUCUGUAUAUUCCAUAGGGGAUUCAGUUAAAAUUGAAUGUUAUGCAGGCUACACAUUACAUGGUGCAGCUCGUAUUGAGUAUAUUGGAGAAGGCAGAUGGAGUCCAGAAGUGCCAAUUUGCAAGUUAAGUGCUUAUAUUAUUGCCAUCAUCUGUGUGAUCGUGGCAGUUCUGGUGUUCCUGGCAGCCUUCUGGAUCUUUAAGAAAUACAUUUCACAAGAAGGCUUGUGCCUUCAUCAGCUCAACCCCGCCGAGCAGAGACAGCAACCAACAGCAAAAUCGGACUGCGUCACAGAUGUAACAUGACCAUCGGCAAAACAAGUGCAGAAAGAUAUCAUGGCUGUCUCAUCGUUCAGACAGCCUUCUUUAGGAUCACAGAAGAACGAGCUGGGACCACCAUUGCUGCUGCUAUUCCAGUUGCUCCCCUGCUCUGCGGAACUGGCGCUGCAGGAGACAAGGAUGCUCCAGCCAGCGAGGGCUCAGUGAGUCAGGAGGGGCUGUGACGACUGCACCAGGAGCUGAACCCCCCCCGGAAUCUGGCAGGAAAGGAGAGGAGGCGAGGAAGGUGCCCCGAGCAGCUCGCGGUGCAGCUCGUGCUUAACCACCGCCUAAGGAAGAGGAAAAGAAGGAAGGAAAGGAAGAAAUAAAAGCCCCGAAGCCAAGCGCUUUCCGCGGUGGAGCUUGGCAGCUCUGACACGUCAUCGUGACAACGGCACAGCAAAGCGAAACCUUCCCGGCGCCGGCACGGGGCAGGCAGGAGGCGGGGACCGAACCCGGGGACGGAACCGGGGGCAGCAGACAGACCGCACCGCACGGCCGGACCGGGCCGGGAGCCCCCGGCACUUUGGGACGAGCGCAGCCAACAUUCGGAUUUGACACCAGGCUCUCAGCCAAUCCGAGAAGGCUUUUCACCUGCCAUCGCCUCCUCCGCCAAUCAGACGGCGUGUUUGGGCCGAGAGCCCUCCCCGGCCAAUCGGGAGCCGGCUGAGCCACUUAGUUAAUGAUGCAGCAGUACAGGGAAGACUAUCACAUGUGAGCUGGAAGGCUGCCAACAUGGAGACACGGAGAGAGCAAGGUAAACAACUUUCCAACGCCAAAAUGAUGACAUUUAAUCCCUAAAUGCUAGCUUCCCGUCUCGACUCAUCCUUAACCCCUUUCAGCUGGUGUGGAAGCGUCUGGAAGGCACCGUGUACCUGUCCCCAGUGCUUUUAAAAACUGGCCGACGUGCCCUGCAAUGAUCACUGCGUCACCGUUUGCCACUUUCUGAACUACGCAGUGACAAAGCCCUGAUCCCAGCUCACAGGGUGGCUGUUAACCCCUGCACCCAGCCCUGCCUCCACGCCAGCCCUCGGGGGGACGCCAGGGAAUAAAAAGCCUGAGCAAAACACGAAAACAGCAGUCUGCAAAGUUGUCAUCUCUCUCCCACGACUGCUGCCCUCCUCUGCAUUACAGCAAUGCUGGCAAGAGUGGCAUUCGUACAACCUGUGCCGACGUUCCAUUGAGAAAACAGCUCUGACGCAGAGCAGAGCAAUCAUACCCAGCCGAAAUAAUAAUGAAGGCACUUGGGGAGCUGAACUUAGGGACGAUGGGGAAAGGGGACGCCCUGCAAAGCAUUACAAAACGUAGAUGCAGCUCCAGCCCCAUCCUGAUCAAAAGCGUCUGAAGAGCCUGAGCUAUUUUGGGAUUUGUCUGUACUACACUGAAAAUGACACCUGUUACACACAGACAUAAAUGAGAAGAAUUGCAAGCUCCUGGUUUCUCAGAUACAAUUCUACCACGGAAAAAGGAUAGGAGCUGGGGAUGUGGGAGGACAGCGUGGGUGCUCGGCGUGGGGUGAAGAGCUGACCCUUGUGAACUGAAUAGUCAGCAGUACAGGGAGCACAAGGCUUGUUGUAUCUGAUGCAGAUCUCCCUGUGACCAAGAGCAGUAAUGCUUGAUCAACGAAAUGCUGCAAGAUAGGGUUUCUUACACGACCAAAUGCACGGGACUUCAAGCCUCAUAGAUCUGCUCCGUGGCCAAAGCUGCAAGCGUUAACUGUUUCAGUUAGUUGUAAGAGUGCUUUGGCUACUUAAAUGAGUCACUCAGCAGUGAUGCUCUGAAGUAGGCCAGCGUUUUGUGCGAGGUUACGCAGUCAGUUUCCGUUACCCCUGAGUUAUUUCAGAAGCUCAACCAAUGCACAGAGGCAGAGAGGAUUUCCGUGUUCCCCAUUGCUGUCUCUGCCUGCAGCCGACCUGCAGUGCCCACGGAGGUGCCAGCAGUGUGCAGACCACCCCGCAGCCCCCAGGCACUGAGCAUGGCAGUGGGAUGGACAGAGCCUGAGAAGUUGGGACAGCUGAUGGGCAUGCUUGGCUCCCAGCAACGCUGGUAUAUGAAGAAAGUAAAAUGGAGCUUUGGUUUAUUUCAAAUUAUAAGCUUUUGGUUGCUUUCAAGGGAAAGGCAGUGUUUGUUUAAUGGGUUACUUUCAUUUGAAAAUGACCAGCCGUGAGACAUUUCUGUCUUUACCUGAUCAUAAAGUGUUCACUCUUUGGAGGCACUUCAGCUCCCAUGAAGGAUCAAAGCUGCUGUGCCUGGCGAAGCACUCAGGUAUGCAACUGAAAACACACAGAGUGAUGGAAAGCUUGGUUGGGAUAUGGCAUUGCCUGUGAGCUGAAUAAGCUGAAAAAAAAGUGAUUCCAUGGUAGAAAUCGAGGCUCCUGUUUUAAGUGGAGCCUAUGGAUGUACAUGGUACCACCUCAUUAUUAUUAUUUUUUUAAUCAUCAGGAUUUUGGUUUUGUAAAGACUGUGAGGGAGCAAUGUCCAGUGCUAGAAAGGGAGCUUGGCAGCUGGAAAGAGCCUAUGGCAGCGGUGGGAGGCAGCCAGAGGGUCUGUCUGUGUGUGUUCUGGUGGCUGUAUCCAUUCUAAAGUGGGACAGGUGUUUGGGAAAGGACUGGAAAGCAAUCCAUCAGCGAGCAGAAGUGCAGGCUUGCUGUUGUUUGUACGCCAACAGAACGUAGAGCUGCAUCCUCAGUUCUUUGGCAUCUUCUGUGUUAUUUUCUGCUGUCAUGCUACAAUGGCCUUAAUAGCAAUAACAUAUGGAGGGUGAAGUUAUGAAAAUCUAACACUUGCAAAUGUCAUCCAAUGCCUUGUGGUGUUGUGGGUGAUAAAAUAACCUUGGCUGUCCCUGGAGAAAGGUCCUUGGUCUUUUUAAUGAUAAGCAGAGCCCCAGUGGUGCUGCGCAGUGCUUCAACUUCCCUCUGGUGAAGGCUUGGCUCCAGUUCCACUUUAAAUGCCAUCAGCCACACCUUCCUCCCAACUGCAGGAAGCUGCGAUUGUUAAAAUCAGGGCAUGUUCCUGUUUAACUAAAAGGCUGAGAUCAAAUAAGCCAAAGGCCUCAGCAAUGCCAAACAAAUUCCUGCCCAAGACUCAGCAAGUCUGUGCAGCUGUAAAUGUGUGCAGUGCCCGACCCCGGCGUCCACGUGAAUGACGUCUCAACGCGUCACCCUGGGAGCUGGCAGUCAGGAGAAUGUGGGCAAGUUAAUGUCACACUUACUGAGUAAUAAUGCUUAGCACAAAGGUCUUCAGCUUGCCAACCAAAUGUCCUGAAAACCAAGUGGUGAUGUUUCUCAGGUGCUGACGUGGCAUCCUGCGUUGUAUUUGAAAUUAAUGCAGUUUUGUGUAUGGGAAGAUUGAAUCAAAUAAAGGUUCAGAAAUUUGGCUCGGAUUGCGUGUGGGUUCAGGGUCAAAGCUGAGAUGGAAAUUUGGGAGUUCCUAAAUCCUAAAUUUUACUCCAGCUGCGCCUCUUGCUUUAAUUGUAGUCCUUACUGAAGUCAAUUAGAGAGACUUAACAACUAUCUGAAACAGAAGCUGCCGGAACAGUGUGGCUUUUAGAGGAAAUUGAUAGGAAAUCAUUUAGAGGAGGUACUUUCUUUCGUUUUUCAAAGAAAAGCAGAAAUAAAACUUUAAAGUUUUGCUUCUGUUCUCACGUGGACGUAGGCAAUGACAGAUGGGUUGUGGUCCCACAGUGCUGUCCUAUCACAGAGACAGUCUGGAUUUCAGGAUCCCAGCUGGGUCCAUGGGGGGAUGUUCUACACAGUACAGCGUGCUGAAUUUCCUUCUGCUGCAACAAUAAUAGGAAAGUUACCGAGUCAGACGUUUAGGUUUAGCAUGCUGUUGUUUUGUUUUGCUUUUCCUCAAAGGUUUAUUGCUAUCCGGAUGAUUUUCAUUAGUGAAUGUGAGAGGAAUGGCUUCUGGAGUGUUUGCAGUGAUUCCUGGCUGUGAUGAGCUCAACCACCAUCUCUGUGACACACAUCUUUGCCAGCCCAGCGUGUGCACACAGUGGUCCCAUCCAACCACAGAGCAGGUUUCCUGUUUCACAUGGGGACACCGAGGUCGUGAAUGGACGGAGGGUCGCUGCGCUCAGCCCCCAGCCCUGGAAGGCAUCUGAGAGCCGAGCUGGCCAGCAGACCUCACCGAGCCGUUCAUACAGCAGGAGAGCACAACAGCCUCCAAAUUAGAACACGUACUUUGCACUUACACAACCAGAAUCAUUGGAAGACCACAAGUUUUUCCCAGUCUGGAAGAUUUCUACCAAGUCAUGAAGAUGGUCAUGUUUGGGAUGGUCCAGUGGAUCCUGUGCCUUGUGUCAGCUCUGUCACUUGGGGAAGAUGGGACAGCAGUCUUUGAGCUGAAAUCAUCUGCUUUGCCUCCAGAGCACAGUUUGAUAUUGGUGUUCGUAGAAAUAUUGCUGAAAGCAGUUUGUGGACUCA